rnacentral:rRNA from 1 species
CCAAUAGCGUAUAUUAAAGUUGUUGCAGUUAAAAAGCUCGUAGUUGAAUUUCGGGAUCAGUACGCUGGUCGUGCCUCUGGUAUGUACUGGUGUUUCUGAUUCCUCCCUUCUGACGAACCGUCAUGUCAUUAAUUUGGUGUGGCGGGGAAUCAGGAGUGUUACUUUGAAAAAAUUAGAGUGUUUAAAUCAGGCUCGCGCGUGAAUAAAGUAGCAUGGAUAAAUGAAAUAGGACGUUCGAUCCUAUUUUGUUGGUUUCUAGGAUUGACGUAAUGAUUAAUAGGGAUAGUUGGGGGCAUUAGUAUUCAAUUGUCAGAGGUGAAAUUCUUGGAUUUAUUGAAGACUAACUACUGCGAAAGCAUUUGCCAAGGAUGUUUUCAUUAAUCAAGAACGAAAGUUAGGGGAUCGAAGACGAUCAGAUACCGUCGUAGUCUUAACCAUAAACUAUGCCGACUAGGGAUCGGAUGAUGUUAAUUUUUUAAUGACUCAUUCGGCGCCUUACG